GGCAGAUCAAUGCGCCACACUUGUACAGGCGAAUAAUGCUGGUACAUAUAAUACGCAGUGCAGGAACACACACACACAUCUGUAAUCUGUAAUUCAUUUUCUUCUUCCCAUUUCCUGACACUGACUCUGUUUGGCUAAGUAUUUUUCUCUUACACUAAAUUAGCACCGGUCAUCAGCCACCCAACAGCUAGCCCGCGGUACUUUUUACUCGCAACAAAUCAGACCACAUACAGCCGGACAGAGUCGGUGUUCUGUCUUUUUUUUUUCGAUUACUUUGUUCUGUCUUGUUCUGCUUGUACUGAUGAGGUUUCUCCUAUCUUCCGUUGGGCUCGCCCGUUGGGACCACACGUCGACAACGCGGUGGGCUGGACGCCCAAGCCCGGUCAACCAAUCAAUGAGUCAGCCACACACACAGGACGGCGGACUCGCACACGGGUCUUCGUGUGUGGCCCUGGGAGUUCCCAAGAGGAGUGGCCGGCACGCAGCGGCGAAGCAGCGGCCGACGCGAGCCCAGAUCAUCGCCGAGGAAUUAUCUCCGUCGCCAUCUGCCGGCCGUGGGGACGCGCGACACGGCGCGGGCAGGGGGUGCUUCUCCCCUCGCCUCCUCCGGCCCUCCGCCAACGUGGACGCGCUGCCAGCCCGCAACGCGACGCCGGCCCCGUCGACGUCCGCUUCCGCGGGGUGCAGCGAACGUGGCGCCCCACUUGUGGCGCUCUCUCCCCCGCCGGGCGGCGGCUACUUAACCACCCCCCGGCAGCGUGCGGCGGGGAGCGGGAGCCACCGGCGACUGAGUUACUGGUGAGCAAGCGGUUUGAAUCAUCUAGCUGCGACAAUGAAGCCCAAGCCUCUCGUCUGCGUGGCGGCGGGGGAGGGUUUAGUGCGAGCGGGGGGCGCCGGGUGGGCGUGGAGGCCGAGGCCGCGCGGCGCGAGGUUGGCGGGGGUGUCGCCCAAGUGUUCCCACGCGGCGGCGGCGGCAGAAGGCGCGGUGCACUCGGAGCACCACCACCGCCGCCGCGGCGUUCGCGGGGUGUUGUUCCGCCCGGUGGGGUUUCCCCGGACGGAGGACGCUUGGAAGCUGGAGGAGCGGAUCGAGAAGGUCAUCUUCGCCUGCCGCUUCAUGACCUUCCUCGGCAUCGGCGGCUUGCUCGCCGGCUCCAUCCCUUGCUUCCUCAAGGGAUGGGUUUAUGUGAUGGAUGCCUUCGUCGAGUACUACUUACACGGCGGUGGAACUGUCGUCCGAAUGCUGCUUGAAGCCAUUGACUUGUUUCUCAUUGGAACGGUCAUGUUUGUCUUCGGGACGGGCUUGUACGAGCUGUUCAUCAGUAAUAUGGACAUGUCUUACGGCUCCAACCUCUUUGGCUUGUUCAGUCUUCCGGAACGACCCAAGUGGCUGGUAAUGCAGUCGGUGAAUGAUCUUAAGACAAAGCUGGGUCAUGUCAUUGUCAUGAGUCUACUAGUUGGCAUCUUCGAGAAGAGCAUGGGGGUGACCAUCACAUCAUGUGCUGACCUCUUUUUCUUCGCUGCAUCUAUUUUCAUCUCCUCAGGUUGCCUCUACCUACUUUCCAGGCUUAAUAAAUAGCAUCAAAGGAGGGAGCCAUGCCUGAAAAAAGUGUCUCUGUACAUAAGCAAUAGGUCUGUUGUGUUGCUGUGCAGCAUCUCAGGUUAUGUUUGGACAGUCAAAAAAUAGGGAGUGGGAGGGUCCCUUUAUGUACUCAUGUGGGUCGGCAGUUGCAGUGAGGCACUACCACUCUACAUAGUAGGAUAAUGAGAUAGUAUCAUCAUGUAUAUGUAACCUGAUGUAUAUCGUCUAUGCAAUUAAUAAUAGAGAUUCUCUGGGACGAACUGAUUAAUAGUGUCACGGCAAUUUCAUACAGUUUUGUUUUCUUAGUACGGGUGCUUUUGAAGAGAGCUUCACUACUUCAUGUACAUGUGUAACUUCUGAUAUGUUUUAUAAAAGGCGAUUAACAUGUC